AGUGAACGCUGGCGGUAGGCCUAACACAUGCAAGUCGAACGGCAGCACAGUAAGAGCUUGCUCUUACGGGUGGCGAGUGGCGGACGGGUGAGGAAUACAUCGGAAUCUACUUUUUCGUGGGGGAUAACGUAGGGAAACUUACGCUAAUACCGCAUACGACCUACGGGUGAAAGCAGGGGAUCUUCGGACCUUGCGCGAUUGAAUGAGCCGAUGCCGGAUUAGCUAGUUGGCGGGGUAAAGGCCCACCAAGGCGACGAUCCGUAGCUGGUCUGAGAGGAUGAUCAGCGACACUGGAACUGAGACACGGUCCAGACUCCUACGGGAGGCAGCAGUGGGGAAUAUUGGACAAUGGGCGCAAGCCUGAUCCAGCCAUACCGCGUGGGUGAAGAAGGCCUUCGGGUUGUAAAGCCCUUUUGUUGGGAAAGAAAAGCAGCAGGUUAAUACCCCGCUGUUCUGACGGUACCCAAAGAAUAAGCACCGGCUAACUUCGUG
rnacentral:rRNA from 1 species